UACAGAGGUCUCAAGCGUUAUUCGGAAUCACUGGGCUUAAAGCGCGUGUAGGCGGGGCGGCACGUCGGUCGCUGAAAUCCCCCGGCUUAACCGGGGAACUGGCGGCGAUACGACCGUCCUGGAGGGGCGUAGGGGGACCUGGAACUUCCGGUGGAGCGGUGAAAUGCGUUGAGAUCGGAAGGAACGCCCGUGGCGAAAGCGAGGUCCUGGACGCCUACUGACGCUGAGACGCGAAAGCCAGGGGAGCGAACGGG
rnacentral:rRNA from 1 species